ensembl:miRNA
CUUAAAGAAUGGCUGUCCGUGGUAUGGUCUCUGUAAUCAGGAGGAUUAAUAUCGGACAACCAUUGUUUGUGUAGCC